UGGGGCGUUACAACUUUCUUCUUCCUGUCGCGACUAAUCCCCCUUAUUCCGGCAACCGCCAUCACCUUCGUUCUCGCGGCAGCCAGAGGUAGUCGAGAUGCAGGGUGAAACACCCAAUACCAGAAUCUAAUCCAAGAAAAAAGAAAAAAAAAACAAAAAUCCACUUUGAACCCUAACCCCAAAAUUCUGCCAUCAAUUUUCUUUCUGUCUUCCCCUCAAACACUCUACGCGCAACCUCUACCCUCCUGCAUUUAGAGUAAAUUUCUGUCAUCCCAACCCACCCAUUGUGCGAAGCAACUUCAUCACAUAUCCAGGGUUCCUACCCUUCAAAUACCG
rnacentral:lncRNA from 1 species